GUCUAUUAGACUGUAUCUCCUCAGCCCCAUUAGAGGAGGUCUAUUAGACUGUAUCUCCUCAGCCCCAUUAGAGGAGGUCUACUAGACUGUAUCUCCUCAGCCCCAUUAGAGGAGGUCUAUUAGACUGUAUCUCCUCAGCCCCAUUAGAGGAGGUCUACUAGACUGUAUCUCCUCAGCCCCAUUAGAGGAGGUCUACUAGACUGUAUCUCCUCAGCCCCAUUAGAGGAGGUCUACUAGACUGUAUCUCCUCAGCCCCAUUAGAGGAGGUCUACUAGACUGUAUCUCCUCAGCCCCAUUAGAGGAGGUCUACUAGACUGUAUCUCCUCAGCCCCAUUAGAGGAGGUCUACUAGACUGUAUCUCCUCAGCCCCAUUAGAGGAGGUCUACUAGACUGUAUCUCCUCAGCCCCAUUAGAGGAGGUCUACUAGACUGUAUCUCCUCAGCCCCAUUAGAGGAGGUCUACUAGACUGUAUCUCCUCAGCCCCAUUAGAGGAGGUCUACUAGACUGUAUCUCCUCAGCCCCAUUAGAGGAGGUCUACUAGACUGUAUCUCCUCAGCCCCAUUAGAGGAGGUCUACUAGACUGUAUCUCCUCAGCCCCAUUAGAGGAGGUCUACUAGACUGUAUCUCCUCAGCCCCAUUAGAGGAGGUCUACUAGACUGUAUCUCCUCAGCCCCAUUAGAGGAGGUCUACUAGACUGUAUCUCCUCAGCCCCAUUAGAGGAGGUCUACUAGACUGUAUCUCCUCAGCCCCAUUAGAGGAGGUCUACUAGACUGUAUCUCCUCAGCCCCAUUAGAGGAGGUCUACUAGACUGUAUCUCCUCAGCCCCAUUAGAGGAGGUCUACUAGACUGUAUCUCCUCAGCCCCAUUAGAGGAGGUCUAUUAGACUGUAUCUCCUCAGCCCCAUUAGAGGAGGUCUACUAGACUGUAUCUCCUCAGCCCCAUUAGAGGAGGUCUAUUAGACUGUAUCUCCUCAGCCCCAUUAGAGGAGGUCUACUAGACUGUAUCUCCUCAGCCCCAUUAGAGGAGGUCUACUAGACUGUAUCUCCUCAGCCCCAUUAGAGGAGGUCUACUAGACUGUUUUCCUGGGACAUAAGCUUAGGUAAAUAUGCAACUAUACAUACAUAUUGGUACAUUUCAUUGCCCUUAUGCCUAAAACAUAUGCAAUAUAGACAAAAACAAAUAACAAUGAAAAUAAAUAUGAAUGUAAAUAUCUAUUAAUGUUUAUGUCCUCCUAUUAAAAACACUAUUACGUAUCUGUCUAGGUUGUAACUGGUGCUGUUAAAAUACAAUAAAUCAUUUUCAUUCUGAACUGGAAUAAACUGAUUGAUCACAGCACACAGGUGAAUAACAGAACAGACACACAGGUGAAUAACAGAACAGACACACAGGUGAAUAACAGAACAGACACACAGGUGAAUAACAGAACAGACACACAGGCGAAUAACAGAACAGACACACAGGUGAAUAACAGAACAGACACACAGGCGAAUAACAGAACAGACACACAGGUGAAUAACAGAACAGACACACAGGUGAAUAACAGAACAGACACACAGGCGAAUAACAGAACAGACACACAGGUGAAUAACAGAACAGACACACAGGCGUUUUGAAACCGUAAGAAACAGUACAGAUGAACAAUGAUAAGGCCGACUGUCCAUCUUACUGUAGAAAGAAAGUCUAGGUUGGAACUGAACUGGUGCUGUUUAAAAAACAACAAAAAACAUUUUUUACAUAUUUUUUUUUUUUAUAUCUGAACGAGAAUAAACUGAUUGGUCACAUCACACAGAUGUAGCCCAGCACAUACAUACAUGCACGCACGCACGCACGCACGCACGCACACACACACACACACACACACACACACACACACACACACACACACACACACACACACACACACACACACACACACACACACACACACACACACACACACACACACACACACACACACACACACACACACACACACACACACACAGAGAGAGAGAGAGUCCUAAUGAGAGGUCUGCAUGUCUAUUCUGGGCUCAGUUUUGGACACUGCAACCCAGAGGUGAUGCACCUCAGCCAGAGUUGACAACCCUGACUCAUAUAGGUAUGUGGUACCAAACUGGACCAGAACAUCUACUGCUUUCUCAGUCAGGCAGGAGACCACUUCCUGUUGUAGAUGGAACAACCCAGAUCUGUGUGAGGGGGUUCUCAGUCAGACAGGACACCACUUCCUGUUGUAGAUGGAACAGCCCAGAACUGUGUGAGUGGGUUCACCUCAAAAAGCAUCUUGCUUUCAUCAGUUUAUUAUUCCAGUUCAGAAUAACAAUUAUUAUUCUGUUUUAACAGCAACAGUUCCAUCCUAGACUCGUUUUCAACAAUAGUUUCUACAGUAAAAUGAACAGUAGGCCUGAUCAUUGUUCAUCUUCAUAUGUACUGUUACUAGGGUUGCACUAUCAGUAGCUUGCUUUGGCGAAUGUUAGAUAUUAACUGUGUACAAGGCCAUGGGAUUGUAUGAAAAAGAAACUCACAUGUAGUACUAUGAGAGAUAGCACUCCCUUAUUACUGCUUAUGCUUACCUGUUAUAAAAUGACAACAAUGCCUUGCUAGUUGACUGACUUUUCCACUGUUGAAGCCCUGUUCUGAAAGACCUCCCUGGGUUGACCGCCAUGCUGUGGAUGUUUUGGUCAGGACGUGUCAUUUUAUAACAAUUUGUUCGUAAUGAGAGACUCAAGUGUAUAUGAAAGAGAGGAAAACUCAUCGCUGUAUUUGCGUUUCAUGACAACUGAGCUCAGACAGAACAAACUCCAUUCGACGACAGCGGUGAGAGAUGGCGAGUGAGAGAUGGCGAGUGAGAGAUGGCGAGUGAGAGAUGGCGAGUGAGAGAUGGCGAGUGAGAGAUGGCGAGUGAGAGCGACAAGUCAGUGGCGGACAGUGGAUCAUCUGCUGCCUGAACCGCAGCUAGCAAACUGAGCAGAGAACGCUGCUUAUCCCUCUCACACUCGCUCAGCUAGCAAACUGAGCAGAGAACGCUGCUUAUCCCUCUCACACUCGCUCAGCUGCCAAACUGAGCAGAGAACGCUGCUUAUCCCUCUCACACUCGCUCAGCUGCCAAACUGAGCAGAGAACGCUGCUUAUCCCUCUCACACUCGCUCAGCUAGCAAACUGAGCAGAGAACGCUGCUUAUCCCUCUCACACUCGCUCAGCUGCCAAACUGAGCAGAGA